rnacentral:rRNA from 1 species
AUUGAACGCUGGCGGCAUGCCUUAGACAUGCAAAUCGAACGGUAACGGGCCUUCCUGUGGCGAGGAGGGGCUGACGGGAGAGUAAUACAUCUUAACGUCCCCGGUGGGGGAGGUGAACGAGGGCAAAGCUUUGCUAAUACCCCAAACGAGCUAUGGACGAACGGAGUUGGCUCCAUGGGGACUGUCGGUCGGAGCGUGCGAUGGCAGUUUAGGUAGUUGGUGGGAGAAAGGGUUACGAAGCCGACGAUCUGUAGCUGGUCUGAGAGGAUGAUCAGCCACACUGGGACUGAGACACGGCCCAGACUCCUACGGGAGGAAGCAGUGGGGAAUUUUGGACAAUGGGCGCAAGCCUGAUCCAGCCAUGCCGCGUGCAGCAUGAAGGCCUUCGGGUUGUAAACUGAUUUUGUACGGAACGAAAAGCCUUCUUUUAAUACAGGAGGGUCAUGACGGUACCGUAAGAAUAAGCACCGACUAACUACGUG